rnacentral:tRNA from 1 species
GCAUUGGUGGUUCAGUGGUAGAACUCUCACCUUUCACGUGGGACACCUGGGUUUGAUUCUAGUCAACGCA